rnacentral:rRNA from 1 species
GACGAACGCUGGCGGCGUGCUUAACACGUGCAAGUCGAACGGUGAAGGGGUCUGCUUUUGUGGGCCCUGGAUGAGUGGCGAACGGGUGAGUAACACGUGAGUAACCUGCCCCCUUCUUCUGGAUAACCGCAUGAAAGUGUGGCUAAUACGGGAUAUUCUGGGUCUGUCGCAUGAUGGGUCUGGGAAAGAUUGCGCCUUUGGGUGUUUUUGGUGGGGGAUGGGCUCGCGGCCUAUCAGCUUGUUGGUGGGGUGAUGGCCUACCAAGGCGGUGACGGGUAGCCGGCCUGAGAGGGUGGACGGUCACACUGGGACUGAGACACGGCCCAGACUCCUACGGGAGGCAGCAGUGGGGAAUAUUGCACAAUGGGCGCAAGCCUGAUGCAGCGACGCCGCGUGAGGGAUGGAGGCCUUCGGGUUGUAAACCUCUUUCGCCAGUGAAGCAGGCCUGCUCCUUGUGGGUGGGUUGACGGUAGCUGGAUAAGAAGCGCCGGCUAACUACGU